UGAGAACCGUAUGUAAGGAAUGAAACUAUAGCUGAAACAGUCAAGAACCACGUUUAUCUCGAUCUACACGUCGUAUGUAAUAAAAAAGUAAGCCAGAGUCAACAAAAGCAAAGAACAUAUCCCAUAAGAUUCAUUAGAAGCCCGAUGACAUCUUCACAGAAGGAGGACGUGAGCAGAAGGUUAUACUGACGGUGGAGUUGUGGCUGCAGAGCCUAAGAAUGAAAUAUGAAAAUAAAUGGCAAGACAACGCAUCUGUUUUCUUCUUGGACAAUUCAAAGCAUCAUCAUCUUAGAAAAUAUGCUUAGGAUCCAAACAGUAGACCAUACAGAUAAUUCGAUGGCUGCUUACCCAUGCCCACGACCCAUCGCCGAAGGUUAACAAAUGUUGUACCACCAUCACAUUUCCAGGCAAAUAAACUUAAAGAAAUGCUGUGACAUAUGCUUUCGCCAACCCUAAAGUAAAGUCUAUACGCAUUUAGUUGCCGAUUGUCUGCACCAAGAGAGUGAAGAAGUACUGGAGCAUACCUAUCAUCUGGGAUUGAGCACCAAUCUUCUUAUCGAUGCCGAAAUUAUUUCCAUCGCUUAUGAAAUUACAAAUGAGAUUCUCCGUAUAUGGGCGAUUUAUUAUAAAUGUCUUUAGAAACAAUUCUAAUGAAUCAGAUUUAAAAUCCUUAGUUCGCCAGAAAGUAAAACUAUUGUUUUGUGCUGAAAAUGCUAUUCAAAUAAAAAAAG